AUUGAACGCUGGCGGCAGGCCUAACACAUGCAAGUCGAACGUGUGGCGGACGGGUGAGUAUUUUCUGGUACACUGCCUGAUGUAGGGGGAUCACUACUGGAAACGGUAGCUAAUACCGCAUACCAUCGGAUGUGCCCAGAUGGGAUUAGCUAGUAGGUGGGGUAACGGCUCACCUAGGCGACGAUCCCUAGCUGGUCUGAGAGGAGGACCAGCCAGACGGGAAGUGAGACACGGUCCAGACGCCUACGGGAGGCAGCAGUGGGGAAUAUGGCACAAUGGGCGCAAACCUGAUGCAGCCAUGACGCGUGGAUGAAGAAGGCCUUCGGGUUGUAAAGGACUUUCAGCGGAGAGGCGUUACACGCAGAAGAAGAACCGGCUAACUACGUGCCAGAAGCCGCGAUAGUAC
rnacentral:rRNA from 1 species